CAGGCAUUUGUACAUUGACAGGUUUAUUCUUAAAGCUUGAACAAAUACAUCUUUACACACACACAAGUUGGUAAAAAGUAAGCCCUUACUGCUUUGUUAAAAAUAAAACCCAUACAUAAAGCUUUCCGGUCAAAUUCCCGAAACAUGAAAACAUCACAUUUCUACAAUACAUCUGCUUUUUUGAUUCAUGUGUGUUUUCAACACAGCUCAACAACUCAUUCCGAUCUACCCAAACAAAGAGAAAACUAACUUCCAGACCAUGAAGGAAAAAAAAAUACAUGCCUCUUAUAACUGUUAAAGACAAGUAGCUAUAGAAUUCUGAAAAUUCUCAAUAAAUAGUUACUAGUAUAAAAAUGCUUAACUCCAUAUAGCUCACCUUUAAUCAAAGGCAGUACCAGUUAUCGCUAUAAUAAAGCACUCAAAGAACAUCGAAAUAACUUCAUAUCUAUAGCAACGAAGGGAACAUGGAACAUUAGCCCUCCUAAACAAUUCCAGAAGAGGGAAGUUCAUUAUGAAUUA
rnacentral:lncRNA from 1 species